UGGAGCUACACCAUUUUACACCAGCUGAAGAUCUGGACUUUAGCCUCUUGUGCAGAGGACUUCAAAGCACAGUUUUUCCAAAUCCGUUCUUGGUGUGUCAUCCUCUCCAUGUGACAGGAAAUGUGACUGCCGCAUUGCAGGACAUUUCUCACUUUGUCUUCAAAGUAUAGACCCUCAUCUUGUAUGGUACUGAAUGCCGACACCUCCUAUUGACUGAACUCUGCAGGAUUAGAUUGUAACUAGUGAGGUGCACAUAUAGGAAGGUGACUGGAAGAAAAUUCAGUGGAAUAUUUUUCCCACCAAGAGCAUUGAUGGGUGCACUUUCUUCUCCACCACUGGAAUUUCUCCUUUCUCUUCUCAGCGUUUCCUUUCUUGGAUGAAAUAUUUUACAGAAGUUUUGAGGCUUGUUUGCUUUUGCAAUCUUAGGAGGCAUCUGGUGCUGGUGAAAACACAUCUGAACACUUCCUAUUUGGUCUGCCAUUAAAUAUCUAGUACAGCUGUUCUGAACAUCCCAUCCCAAGCUGGAAUAGGAAGAGAAGUCCAGCCAGCCAUUUCCCCUGUGGCCAGCCGUAAGGAUCUUCCGGAAGGUAUGUGCUUUGGAUUUCAUCCCCCGACUAUUACACUCAUAAUGUCAGACCCCCAACG
rnacentral:lncRNA from 1 species